UAUUUUGCAAUGAAGGAAUUAGAGUAGUUAUGCAGAUCACUGUUUAAAGAGACCUGACGGUUGGUGUGAGUCAGGACAAAUUUGCAAGCGAAUUACAAUCUGGAGCAGACUUUCCUUUUAUCUAUAUACAGACAACUGGAAAGCGGUGGAAACAUCGUUAACAAUCCUAAGUGGCAAAUUUAUUUGCAACAAGGGUGGUACCGCGUGUUAAACUCGUCCCUUUU
rnacentral:ncRNA from 1 species